rnacentral:rRNA from 1 species
AAAGCUCGUAGUUGGAUUUCUGUGGGGACGGAGCGGCCGGCCGCAACUCGCGGUUCGAGCUAGCGCUUUCCCUACAUCCUGCCGCGAACCGUGCUACCAUUAGUUUGGUGGCGCCGGGGAUCGGCUCGGUUACUUUGAGAAAAAUAGAGUGUUCAAAGCAGGCCACACGCCUUGAAUAAGUUAGCAUGGAAUAAUAACUAAGGACUUCGGUUCUAUUUUGUUGGUGUUCGGGACUGA